rnacentral:rRNA from 1 species
GACGAACGCUGGCGGCGUGCCUAAUACAUGCAAGUAGAACGCUGAAGACUUUAGCUUGCUAAAGUUGGAAGAGUUGCGAACGGCUGAGUAACGCGUAGGUAACCUGCCUACUAGCGGGGGAUAACUAUUGGAAACGAUAGCUAAUACCGCAUAACAGCUUUUAACUCAUGUUAGGAGCUUGAAAGGUGCAAUUGCAUCACUAGUAGAUGGACCUGCGUUGUAUUAGCUAGUUGGUGAGGUAACGGCUCACCAAGGGGACGAUACAUAGCCGACCGGAGAAGGUGAGGGCGCAUACUGGGACUGAGACACGGGCCACACUCGUACGGGAGGCAGCAGCAGAGAAUCCUCGGCAAUGGGGGACACCCUGAGCGAGCAACGCCGCGUGAGUGAAGAAGGUUUUCGGAUCGUAAAGCUGUGUUGUAAGAGAAGAACGUGUGUGAGAGUGUAAAGUCCACACAGUGACGGUAACUUACCAGAAAGGGACGGCUAACUGCGAGCCAGCCGCCGCCGUAA